UACGUAGGGUGCAAGCGUUAAUCGGAAUUACUGGGCGUAAAGCGUACGCAGGCGGCUUUGCAAGACAGGUGUGAAAUCCCCGGGCCUAACCUGGGAACUGCAUUUGAGACUGCAUAGCUAGAGUUUGUCAGAGGGGAGUGGAAUUCCACGUGUAGCAGUGAAAUGCGUAGAUAUGUGGAGGAACACCGAUGGCGAAGGCAGCUCCCUGGGCAGUGACUGACGCUGAUGUACGAAAGCGUGGGGAGCGAACAGG
rnacentral:rRNA from 1 species